rnacentral:rRNA from 1 species
GACUCAACACGGGGAAACUCACCAGGUCCAGACANAGUAAGGAUUGACAGAUUGAGAGCUCUUUCUUGAUUAUGUGGGUGGUGGUGCAUGGCCGUUCUUAGUUGGUGGAGUGAUUUGUCUGCUUAAUUGCGAUAACGAACGAGACCUUAUCCUGCUAAAUAGUCAGGCCAGCUUCGGCUGGUCGCUGGCUUCUUAGAGGGACUAUCGGCUUCAAGCCGAUGGAAGUUUGAGGCAAUAACAGGUCUGUGAUGCCCUUAGAUGUUNUGGGCCGCACGCGCGCUACACUGACAGAGCCAACGAGUCUAUACCUUGUCCGAAAGGCCUGGGUAAUCUUGUGAAACUCUGUCGUGCUGGGGAUAGAGCAUUGCAAUUAUUGCUCUUCAACGAGGAAUUCCUAGUAAGCGCAAGUCAUCAGCUUGCGUUGACUACGUCCCUGCCCUUUGUACACACCGCCCGUCGCUACUACCGAUUGAAUGGCUCAGUGAGGCCUUCGGACUGGUCCAGGAAGGUCGGCAACGACAUUUCCACGGUGCUGGAAAGUUGGUCAAACUUGGUCAUUUAGAGGAAGUAAAAGUCGUAAGCAAGGUUU